rnacentral:sRNA from 1 species
UCCUCCUCGCUGCGUUAUUGGCUGUUGUU